rnacentral:tRNA from 1 species
UACCUGACUAGAGGAUAGCUCAGUCAGUAGAGCAUGAGACUCUUAAUCUCAGGGUCCUUGAUUUGAGCCCCACGUUGGGUAA